rnacentral:rRNA from 1 species
GACGAACGCUGGCGGCGUGCUUAACACAUGCAAGUCGAACGGCAAGGCCCUGCUUUUGUGGGGUGCUCGAGUGGCGAACGGGUGAGUAACACGUGUGUAACCUGCCCUUGACUUUGUGAUAACUUCAGGAAACUUGGGCUAAUACCGGAUAGGAGCUCCUGCUGCAUGGUGGGGGCUGGAAAGUUUCGGCGGUUGGGGAUGGUCUCGCGGCUUAUCAGCUUGUUGGUGGGGUAGUGGCUUACCAAGGCUUCGACGGGUAGCUGGCCUGAGAGGGUGACCUGCCACAUUGGGACUGAGAUACGGCCCAGACUCCUCCGGUAGGCAGCGGUGGAGAAUAUUGCACAAGGGGCGGAAGCCUGAUGCAGCAACGCCGCGUGCGGGAUGACGGCCUUCGGGUUGUAAUCCGCUUUCGCCUGUGACGAAGCGUGAGUGACGGUAAUGGGUAAAGAAGCACCGGCUAACUACGUG